AUGGUUAAUGGCAGCAGCAGCAACAUUCAGUCGUACUUCAAAAGACAAAGGACAGAUCAACAAGAUGCAGUAGCAGAAGAUCCUCCACCAGCGCAACCUUUACCUCUGCUUCUUGAAUUGGAACAACAACAUGAAAAUCAAGAUGAAGAGCCUCAAACAAAUAAUCCAGUUCCUCUUCCUGUUGUGUUGCGAGGUAUGGAAUUCUUGGAGGGAGAUCCUGCAUUGCAACCACAAAUUUGGCAAUACCCACCAAAUCAAAGAGAUAGCGUGCGGACAUCAUAUUUGUUGCUAGGUCCUAUGCAACCAAAACUGAAGGAGUAUAAAGCUUCUGGUAAAAAGGGCCAUCAGGGUUGCUUCCAAUAUAAGUGGUUUGAAAAAUUCCCAUCAUGGCUAGAGUACUCAGAGGAUAGUCAUCGUGCAUAUUGUUUAUUUUGCUUCGUUUCUAGCAGAAAUUUCUCAUCAAAAGGAGACUCUGAUGUAUUCACAGUGCAUGGUUUUGAUAACUGGAAGAAGGUAAAUGUUUUGAGUUACGAUUUUUAG
rnacentral:rRNA from 1 species